CGGCAGGCUUAACACAUGCAAGUCGAACGGUAGCACAGGGGAGCUUGCUCCCUGGGUGACGAGUGGCGGACGGGUGAGUAAUGCUUGGGAAUUUGGCUURUGGAGGGGGAUAACUACGGGAAACUGUAGCUAAUACCGCGUAAUGUCUACGGACUAAAGGGUGGGACUAUUUGGCCACCUGCCAUGAGAUGAGCCCAAGUGGGAUUAGGUAGUUGGUGGGGUAAAGGCCUACCAAGCCGACGAUCUCUAGCUGGUCUGAGAGGAUGACCAGCCACACUGGAACUGAGACACGGUCCAGACUCCUACGGGAGGCAGCAGUGGGGAAUAUUGCACAAUGGGGGGAACCCUGAUGCAGCCAUGCCGCGUGAAUGAAGAAGGCCUUCGGGUUGUAAAGUUCUUUCGGUGAUGAGGAAGGCAGGUAUUUUAAUAGAAUACUUGAUUGACGUUAAUCACAGAAGAAGCACCGGCUAACUCCGUGCCA
rnacentral:rRNA from 1 species